GUGGGGAAUUUUGGACAAUGGGCGCAAGCCUGAUCCAGCAAUGCCGCGUGCAGGAUGAAGGCCUUCGGGUUGUAAACUGCUUUUGUACGGAACGAAAAGCCCUGGGUUAAUACCCUGGGGUCAUGACGGUACCGUAAGAAUAAGCACCGGCUAACUACGUGCCAGCAGCCGCGGUAAUACGUAGGGUGCGAGCGUUAAUCGGAAUUACUGGGCGUAAAGCGUGCGCAGGCGGUUUUGUAAGACAGAGGUGACAUCCCCGGGCUCAACCUGGGAACUGCCUUUGUGACUGCAAGGCUAGAGUACGGCAGAGGGGGAUGGAAUUCCGCGUGUAGCAGUGAAAUGCGUAGAUAUGCGGAGGAACACCGAUGGCGAAGGCAAUCCCCUGGGCCUGCACUGACGCUCAUGCACGAAAGCGUGGGGAGCAAACAGGAUUAGAAACCCCUGUAGUCC
rnacentral:rRNA from 1 species